rnacentral:rRNA from 1 species
CAGCAGCCGCGGUAAUACCGGCGGCCCGAGUGGCGGUCACUAUUAUUGGGCUUAAAGCGUCCGUAGCCGGGUUGGGAAGUCCUCCGGGAAAUCUGGCCGCUUAACGGUCAGAAUGCCGGAGGAUACUCCCAGCCUAGGGAGCGGGAGAGGCCGAGGGGAUUCCCGGAGGAGGGGGGAAAUCCUAUAAUCCCGGGAGGACCACCUGUGGCGAAGGCGCUCGGCUGGAACGCGUCCGACGGUGAGGGACGAAGGCCAGGGGAGCAAACCGGAUUAGAUACCCGGGUAGUCCUGGCUGUAAACGAUGCGGACUUUGUGUCGGACAAGCUAUGAGCUUGUCCGGUGCCGGAGGGAAACCGUUAAGUCCGCCGCCUGGGGAGUACGGCCGCAAGGCUGAAACUUAAAGGAUUGGCGGG